rnacentral:rRNA from 2 species
GGGUGCGAUCAUACUAACACUAAUGCACCGGAUUCCAUCAUAACUCCGUAGUUAAGCAUGUUUGGACAAGGGUAAUACUUAGUUGUGUGCACAAGGAAGUCCUCGUAUUGCACUCC